rnacentral:snRNA from 1 species
UCAGGACAUCUCUCUUUC